rnacentral:rRNA from 1 species
CCUACGGGUGGCAGCAGUGAGGAAUAUUGGUCAAUGGGCGGAAGCCUGAACCAGCCAAGUAGCGUGCGGGAUGAAGGCCCUACGGGUUGUAAACCGCUUUUGCACGGGGAUAACACCCUCCACUUGUGGCGGUCUGCAGGUACCGUGCGAAUAAGGGCCGGCUAAUUCCGUGCCAGCAGCCGCGGUAAUACGGAAGGCACGAGCGUUAUCCGGAUUUAUUGGGCUUAAAGGGAGCGUAGGCGGGCGUUCAAGUCAGCUGUAAAAUCGCGGGGCUCAACUGCGAACCGCAGUUGAAACUGGACGCCUUGAGUUCACAACAGGCAGGCGGAAUUCGUGGUGUAGCGGUGAAAUGCAUAGAGAUCACGAGGAACCCCGAUUGCGAAGGCAGCCUGCCGGGGUGCGACUGACGCUGAGGCACGAAGGUGCGGGUAGCAAACAGGAUUAGAUACCCGGGUAGUC